rnacentral:rRNA from 1 species
AUGGUUGGACGAAAUAUUAACUGUUUCAUUUAAAAUUAAUAUAGAAUUUUAUUUUUUAGUCAAAAAGCUAAAAUUAUUUUAAAAGACGAGAAGACCCUAUAAAUCUUUAUAUUUUGUUUAUUUUAAUUAUAAAGAUUAUUUUAAUUUUAAUAAAUUAAAAUAUUUUAUUGGGGUGAUAUUAAAAUUUAAAAAACUUUUAAUUUUUAAAAACAUUAAUUUAUGAAUAAUUGAUCCAUUAAUAAUGAUUAAAAAAUUAAGUUACUUUAGGGAUAACAGCGUAAUUUUUUUGGAGAGUUCAUAUCGAUAAAAAAGAUUGCGACCUCGAUGUUGGAUUAAGAUAUAAUUUUGGGUGUAGCCGUUCAAAUUUUAAGUCUGUUCGACUUUUAAAUUCUUACAUGAUCUGAGUUCAAACCGGUGUAAGCCAGGUUGGUUUCUAUCUUUAAAAAGUUAUAAUAUUUUAGUACGAAAGGACCAAAUAUUAAAAUAAUUAUAUUUAAUAAAAUGAAUAUUGUUAGUUU